GGCUGCAGCACAUAAACUUUUCAUUUUUCUGUUGAUCUCGCGCUGCAUUAACAUUCAAAACGUUUGCGCUUCACUCAUGUGAGCUCGGGAACGGACACGGGACCAUUGAAACCUGUGGCUGAACAUAAAUACUCCUGUCUUCUGUGUGGAGUGCACCAACUGUGGGGACGAGAAGUGAAAGGUUGCCACGCGCGGGCAGCUCGCGUGCCGAUUUUCCUGAGCUAUAUGCGGACAAAACGCCGCGGCUGCGCACGCCUCGCGCACACUGGUCCGCAGUGGCGGGUUGCGCGCGUGCGUUUGCGUGCACGCGGGUGCUGUUGUAAUUUCACGUCACAUCAAGUUUGAUCAGGGGUCCGAUUGGUCGAUCCGCCUGCGCUGUCCUGAAUUAAGAAGCUCCCGCGCUGUCAGCGCGUACUCGGUGUUUAUCCCGCAGUCCGAAUGAACCUGCCGGGUGUCGCGUGAGAGAGCCACUGCACAUCUGGCGAAUUUUAUCGUCGCCCUCGCACCCGGUCUGGAUGUUGCGCGUGAGCUGAAGAUUUUUUAGAGGUCGGAGAAAAAUGUGGCGGCGAGCGCACGCGUGGGUCCUGCUCUUGCCGUGGCUCAUACUGCAAAUCCACGCGGGCUUUCCGAAUCAGAUCAAUAUCGGUGGUCUCUUCAUGCGCUCAACGAUCCAGGAGCACAGUGCGUUCCGCUUUGCAGUUCAGCUCUAUAACACAAACCAGAACAUCACCGAGAAACCCUUUCAUCUGAACUAUAACGUGGACAAUCUGGAGUCAUCCAACAGCUUCUCCGUCACGCACGCGUUCUGCUCUCAGUUCUCAAGGGGUGUGUAUGCAAUAUUUGGAUUCUACGACCGGAGGUCAAUGAACACAUUAACAUCGUUCUGUGGCGCUCUGCACACCUCCUUCAUCACUCCUUCUUUUCCCACGGACACAGAUGUGCAGUUUGUUUUGCAGAUGAGGCCCAGCCUCAGGGGGGCGCUGCUCAGCUUGCUAGGCCAUUACAAAUGGGAGAAGUUUGUCUAUUUGUAUGACACUGAUAGAGGGUUUUCCAUCCUACAGGUCAUAAUGGAAUCUGCAGUGAUGAAUAAUUGGCAGGUAACCGCACGUUCGGUGGGGAACAUAGUGGAUCCGCUGGAAUACAGGCGGAUUAUUGAAGAAAUGGACCGCCGUGAGGAGAAACGCUUUCUUAUUGACUGUGAGGUUGAACGCAUUAACAGUAUUCUUGAACAGGUCGUGCUCUCAGGAAAGAACAGCCGAGGAUAUCAUUACAUCCUGGCUAAUCUUGGGUUUUCUAACAUGAGUCUGGAUAAGGUGUUCUCGGGUGGCGCAAACAUAACCGGGUUUCAAAUCAUAAACCCUGAUAGUCCUAUUGUGCAGCAGUUCCUCCAGCGCUGGGACCGACUCGACGAGAGAGAGUUUCCUGAGUCUACAAACACUCCGCUGAAGUACACCUCUGCCCUGACUCACGAUGCCAUCCUGGUAAUAGCUGAGGCAUUUCGGUAUUUGAGACGACAGCGCGUAGAUAUUUCCCGCCGAGGGAGCGCGGGCGAUUGCCUCGCCAAUCCAGCUGUUCCGUGGAGCCAGGGAAUCGACAUUGAAAGAGCUCUCAAAAUGGUGCAGGUUCAGGGAAUGACGGGAAAUAUUCAGUUUGAUUCAUUCGGACGACGAUUGAAUUACACCAUUGAUGUUUAUGAAACGAAACCUGGAGGAGCCAGAAAGAUUGGCUACUGGAACGAGUAUGAGAAAUUUGUUUAUAUAGUGGAGCAGCAGGUUACCAACGAAUCCUCCUCUGUGGAAAACAGAACCAUUGUGGUCACUACUAUUAUGGAAGCUCCAUACGUAAUGUACAAGAGGAAUUAUAUGCAGAUGGAAGGCAAUGAUCGAUAUGAGGGCUACUGUGUAGACUUGGCAUCAGAAAUCGCCAAGCACGUGGGCAUAAAGUACAAACUGUCUAUUGUGGCCGAUGGAAAGUACGGAGCUCGCGACCCCGAAACCAAGACCUGGAAUGGCAUGGUGGGGGAGUUGGUAUAUGGGAGAGCAGAUAUAGCUGUGGCUCCCCUCACUAUAACCCUGGUACGAGAGGAGGUGAUAGAUUUCUCCAAGCCCUUCAUGAGUCUGGGCAUUUCCAUCAUGAUCAAGAAACCACAGAAGUCCAAGCCCGGAGUCUUUUCCUUCCUGGACCCGCUGGCGUAUGAGAUCUGGAUGUGCAUUGUGUUUGCCUACAUCGGUGUCAGCGUGGUUCUCUUCCUGGUGAGUCGUUUUAGUCCGUACGAAUGGCACCUGGAUGAAAACGAAGAAGUGAAGGAUCCACAGACGCCACCCGACCCGCCCAACGACUUCGGCAUCUUUAACAGUCUCUGGUUCUCACUUGGAGCUUUCAUGCAGCAAGGAUGCGAUAUCUCGCCAAGGUCUUUGUCUGGACGUAUAGUUGGGGGUGUGUGGUGGUUCUUCACUCUGAUCAUUAUUUCAUCCUACACUGCGAAUCUGGCCGCUUUCCUGACGGUGGAAAGAAUGGUGUCACCUAUAGAGAGCGCAGAAGACCUCGCCAAGCAGACCGAGAUCGCCUAUGGAACACUGGACUCCGGUUCCACCAAAGAAUUUUUCAGGCGUUCAAAGAUCGCCGUCUAUGAGAAGAUGUGGUCUUAUAUGAAAUCGGCCGAGCCGUCCGUGUUCGUCAAAACGACCCCUGAUGGAGUGGCACGCGUGCGCAAGUCGAAGGGAAAGUUUGCGUUCCUGCUCGAGUCCACCAUGAACGAAUACAUCGAGCAGAGAAAGCCCUGCGACACUAUGAAGGUGGGAGGGAACCUGGACUCCAAGGGCUACGGUGUGGCCACGCCCAAAGGGUCGGCAUUAAGAAGUGCUGUAAACCUGGCGGUGUUAAAGCUGAACGAGCAGGGCCUCUUGGACAAGCUGAAAAAUAAAUGGUGGUACGACAAGGGAGAGUGCGGCAGCGGGGGAGGGGACUCGAAGGUCAGCCUCAAUCGCACCCAGACAACUACAUCCGAGUAAUCGGCAAGGCUGUGAACUAACGUGCGCAACGUACCGGUGUUAUAUAAUGAGGCAAACUGCGAUCUGGGAUGACCCUUUACUUGUCUAAUGGAGAUGAGAUAGCAAAGGAGGAGAGGAAUAAAGGCUUGGGUGUGAAGUCGGGGUCAACGAGAGUGCGGCUUAAUAGGACGUUUAGGUUCUUGAAUUUGCUCGCAGGUUUGUUUUGUGUACUGCCAGGAAGGAAGCAGCUUGUUUUAGGUUACACUUGGAUCUCUGUGGCUCUCCGCUGAUCUGUAACAUUUCGUGUAGAGCAGGCCUCUAGGGUUUUACGGGCCAUCAAGAGAAAAACAAAUCCAAUGAGCAUCUAGUAGACAGGAUGAAAACAUAGCGGACAGCGCAACGUGAUAGCACAAACUCCGCUCUGAAAAGUACAACUCAACGCGGUUUGAAUAACACGACUGUGUUUAACUUUAGAAGGUAGGCUAAAUGUAUCCGAGUGUGAACUGUAGUUUCGUGCAGUUGUGGUUUAUGUGCUGUUCUUGUAGUAGGUUUCGGCAGGUUAUUGUAUGUACAGUACAGUGUUUGUGGGUAGCGGUACAAUAAAGCAUAAAGACUAUCACACUUUGCAUCUCUGUGGCAAUUUGGGGAAAAAAAUGGUCAAUGCGUACAUCUAAACUGCUCAGAAGCUGCCAACUCUCUCUGCAUAUUAUUCCCUGAAUUGGAUCGAAAAAGUCCAUAGUGCCCCUGAUGGUGAGGUUACACAGCACAGUCCUGGAUGGACAAAAAACAUCACAGGAAAACGUGAGAAUUCUAAUGAAACAAUUCCUCCUAAAUAACACAGCUGGAGCACAUUAAAUGCGGAGAAGGAUCUGGUGCCGUAUUUUGGACUCACAAAGCACACAUUCAUCUGCAUAUGAAUGCACAGACUAGCACGAACUCAUUCCCUCAUGCAUUAUGUUUGCGGUCACACAUACACAUAUCCAAAUUAACUGAUUUUUCUUCAGCCCAUGUGCCUGCGGAAUGGUCACCCUGUGUUAAGCCUAUCAUGCGGACAAGGCAGCCCCUUUUAUCCCUGAUUGGUCUUAUCUCGGAGACCAAAAUGUCCGCCUAGUCCAGACAUUGAUAAGUUGAGCAUGCUGGGUAGAGGGUGUCUAGUCUGUUAUGACAUCACAAGUGCAUGUGUCUCAUUUAUUGACCGGAAUCUGAUCCAAAAUGCAUGAAUGGAGUUAUUCAGCAAUCCCGGUAAAUAUACCGUACAAUUAGAACACAGCCAAAUACACUGAACAAAGCAAAAAUAUUUAACACUUUCUAUUACUAGAACGUGCAAUGACAUUAAACAGUUUGAUACUUCUAUUGUAAUACGAUUUUUGCUUGUAUUCUUAAAAGUAAAUUUCCCACUAAAGAGCCUUGAAUUGUGUCACUUCGUUUGAUACGUUUACCUUACAGCCUAGAAUUUGAUGAGAAGCUGAAGUGCAGAAUGAUGUCAAAAAUGUUUUAUCCUUUAUGGCGGAAGUGAGAGACUGCACGUUUUGAAAGCUUAUCAUUAAUUCUAAAAGGACUUUAAGCGAUUUUUUUCAUUUUUAUAAUUUUUAUCUCAGAUGUAUUGUUUUGAUUGAUACAAAGAAUAGAGACCAGGAAAACUUUACCUAGAUUGCUAACCCAUAUACAGCCGCAGAAAAAAUUCAGAGACCAUUUUUCUGAUUUAAAAAUUUACUUUAUAGGUAUGUGUUUAGGUAAAAUUAUCAUUUUUCUUUCAUUCUGUGAACUACUAACAACAUUUUUACCAAAUUUCAAAUAAAAAUAUCUAUUUGUAUUUAUUUGCAGAAAAUGAACACUGGAGAAACAGGUCAAAAUAACAGUAACUGUGCUAUUUUUUCAGACCUCAAAUACUGAGAAGAAAACAAUAACAUAUUUACUUUUAAGCAAUGCUUUAGUAAUAUUUGUACAUGUAUUUAGGAAAAGUUAGACAUUCUUUUUUAUUUGCUAAUUUUUAUGACAGUUUUCAUGUGUGUUGUCAUUCUGUCAGUCUUUCACAUUGCUGUUGAAUGACUUUGUCACUCCCGAGGUUUGAUUUUUUUUUAUACAACAAAUACAACAAACACUAGGCUGAAAUAGCCACAAAACAUCUAGAAAUGCUGAUUUUAAAUGAAAAUUGGGAGCGGUCUCUUAAUUUUUUCCGCGGCUGUAUAUAGAGAGUAGAGACUCAUGUUAAGCACCUUUUUUACAAUAUUACUGUAGAUGUUCUGAAAGUAGAAAUAUAAACUUUAAAUGUACAUCACUCCAUAAACUGAUAAUUUUAAAAAAGUAUUUUCCACCAGAUUGGGCCUUCAUUUUUGACACCGGUUUGUGUUACUGUGGUAAGUAUGGUAUAUUUGCUCUGCUGGAUUACAACACUCAUCAUUUAGCAGAAGGAAAAUAAAUUGAGUUUCCCAGCAGUCCUGCUGAUGACAUACUAACAUCUUACAAACCAAAACGCCCAGCAGGAAUAUAACACUGGUAAUGAACAGUACCAUUUCCUGCCAGGACAGUUGAGGCUGCUUCUCCAUCUGUCGUUCCACAAACAAAUAAAAGUUUUUGCAGAGAGCCUUUUAAAGUAAUCACAGGAGGUUGGCGUUUUUCUUUGUAAGAUGUUUGGCUUCAGCCCUCACCCAUCACAGACUGGUUCCCCUUCUGACUGGCUAGGUCCUGUUUGUCUGUUAGUCAAGUAAGGGCUCUUUAUACGUUUUUUUUUAAAGGGGAUUUUACACCAUUAACAUAUAAAAAGUAAUCUUUUCAAUGCUCUUUAUAAUAAUACUCUGUUUGGCUGUGUUACCAUGGUUACUUUCUCUGUCUUUGUUGGAACAGUGAGUGCUGAUUACUCAAAGCGAUAACAGUAGGUAGCACUGGCAGGUCUAAGGUCAAAGGUAACACUAAGGUAGCUCUAACUGCAACCUCUCUCUCUCUCUCUCUCUCUCUCUCUCUCUCUCUCUCUCUCUGUCACUCUCUCUCUUUACGGUAUCAACAGCACAAGGCCAGGUGUCCUACAGUAUCGCUUUGGUUAACAGAUGUUCGAACUCCUGUAAACCUUGCAGUGUUGAAACUCAGUGAACAAGGCAUCUUAGACAAGCUGAAAAACAAGUGGUGGUACGAUAAGGGUGAAUGUGGGA